GUGAAUCAUCAAAUCUUUGAACGCAGAUUGCACUCUCCUCGGAGAGUGUGCCUGUUUGAGUGUCAGCCUAUAAAAAAUCGACAUCGUUGUUGUUUCGCGGUGGCGUUCGUCGGAAAUUGGGUCAUCUUAAAUCCUUUUGGUUUUUAAGCGACUUAAAAUUUUAUUUUUGGUUCCAUGAACGUUUCUAAGAUUUAUGUCUUUACACGAUUAAGGUAUCGAUUUUUAUUAGACGUGACCAUCAUAUCGGACCGCGUCAAUAAUCUUUACUUAACUGACCU
rnacentral:misc_RNA from 1 species